rnacentral:rRNA from 1 species
UACGUAGGGUGCAAGCGUUGUCCGGAAUUAUUGGGCGUAAAGAGCUCGUAGGCGGUCUGUUGCGUCGACGGUGAAAACCCUCAGCUCAACUGGGGGCCUGCCGUCGAUACGGGCAGACUUGAGUGCGGGAGGGGAGACCGGAAUUCCUGGUGUAGCGGUGAAAUGCGCAGAUAUCAGGAGGAACACCGGUGGCGAAGGCGGGUCUCUGGGCCGUCACUGACGCUGAGGAGCGAAAGCGUGGGGAGCGAACAGG